CUAGGCGGCCGAGCGCAGGGGCCCCACCUCUUCCCAUCCCGAACAGAGAAGUUAAGCCCUGCAGCGCCGAUGGUACUGGGGUCGCACCCGGGAGAGUAGGCCGCCGCCACAC
rnacentral:rRNA from 1 species